UACGAAGGGGGGCUAGCGUUGCUCGGAAUGACUGGGCGUAAAGGGCGCGUAGGCGGUUUGGACAGUCAGAUGUGAAAUUCCUGGGCUCAACCUGGGGGGCUGCAUUUGAUACGUUCGGACUAGAGUGGGGAAGAGGGUCGUGGAAUUCCCAGUGUAGAGGUGAAAAUUCGUAGAUAUUCGGAAGAACACCAGUGGCGAAGGCGACUUACUGGACACAUAUUGACGCUGAGGUGCGAAAAGCGUGGGGGAGCAAACAGGG
rnacentral:rRNA from 1 species